AUUGAACGCUGGCGGCAUGCCUUACACAUGCAAGUCGAACGGCAGCACGGGAGCAAUCCUGGAGGCGAGUGGCGAACGGGUGAGUAAUACAUCGGAACGUGCCCUGUAGUGGGGGAUAACUAGUCGAAAGACUAGCUAAUACCGCAUACGACCUGAGGGUGAAAGUGGGGGACCGCAAGGCCUCAUGCUAUAGGAGCGGCCGAUGUCUGAUUAGCUAGUUGGUGGGGUAAAGGCCUACCAAGGCGACGAUCAGUAGCUGGUCUGAGAGGACGAUCAGCCACACGGGGACUGAGAAACGGCCCAGACUCCUACGGGAGGCAGCAGUGGGGAAUUUUGGACAAGGGGGGCAACCCUGAUUCAGCAAUGCCGCGUGUGUGAAGAAGGCCUUCGGGUUGUAAAGCACUUUUGUCCGGAAAGAAAUCGCUUCGGUUAAUACCUGGAGUGGAUGACGGUACCGGAAGAAUAAGGACCGGCUAACUACAUGCCAGCCGCCGCCGUAAAAC
rnacentral:rRNA from 1 species